CAAAGAAAUAGUAUUGAUCUAGGUCUUAACAAAAACUUAAAUCUACUGCUCCGAGUUAAAGGGUUAACAAACACUUUUAGGGCAUAUUCAAACCAAAAAGUUUGGGUCUUCAAUCGAUCGACUGCUCUGAAUACACUACUCGAUAGACUACUCCAGAUCUUCAAAUCAGUGCUCUAGUGCUCCAAUGCAUCUCAAAAUUAACAAAAACUUUGGGUCUCUAAUCGAAUACUGCUCCGACUACGAGUGCUCCGACCGCUUCAAUUGAACCUUAGCCAUCUAUUAAAAAAGGAUAAGCUUCAAAAUUUUGGGUUGACAGCACACAAAUAUACUCGAGACAUUGACUCCACAAGUUAGGAAGCGUGAAGAUGUUCUAAGAGAGCUUCAGGUAAGUUGCCUGAUGUGACGUCUUUGAUACCUGCUAGCCCGAACACAUCUUCUGGUUUAUAUUUUGGAAGGCAAAGGGCAAAGGAUCCUAUAAUGGUAUUUGUUUCUUGUGCCACUGGAAAAUCUGGUAUCCGCAAUGCUCAGAUACUGCUGCGUGAAGGUUAUAGUGUAAGAGCUUGAGUUUCUGACCUUGGUGCAGCACAAAAUCUAGCUUAUCUAGCCAUUAGCUACAAGGUAUGGCAGAAUGUGUUGUCUGCCAUUCCAAGCUAGUUUCUCCAACUGUAAAGACUAUUUGAAGGGCAUAUGAUCGACACAGAAGCAAGGUUUCAUCAAACCAAGAUGCCCUUAAUGUCCUAAUGGUUGUAGUAGAUUGUAUGUUGGGUUGUUUACGAGUAGCAGUCCUUUUUAGAUGUUGUAACUUUUUACAUGUCUUCUUCUCAGUUCUUGUAAGAGAAGUUCGUAAUUUAUGCAUGGAAAUGAUAAUAUCCGACUUGUAAAGUGUAUAUACUUAUUAAGCUUGUUGAUGUCCUGUGGAUUGUGCUCUUUCCCUAACAA